rnacentral:rRNA from 1 species
CGGAGGGUGCAAGCGUUAUCCGGAUUCACUGGGUUUAAAGGGUGUGUAGGCGGAUAUUUAAGUCAGUGGUGAAAUCUCCGGGCUCAACCCGGAAACUGCCAUUGAUACUAUUUAUCUUGAAUAUCGUUGAGGUUGGCGGAAUAUAUCAUGUAGCGGUGAAAUGCAUAGAUAUGAUAUAGAACACCGAUUGCGAAGGCAGCUAACUAAACGAUUAUUGACGCUGAGGCACGAAAGCGUGGGGAUCAAACAGGAUUAGAUACCCUGGUAGUCCACGCCCUAAACUAUGAUUACUCGACAUACGCGAUACACAGUGUGUGUCUGAGCGAAAGCAUUAAGUAAUCCACCUGGGAAGUACGUCCGCAAGGAUG